AGUGAACGCUGGCGGCAUGCUUUACACAUGCAAGUCGAACGGUAACAGGUUAAGCUGACGAGUGGCGAACGGGUGAGUAAUGCAUCGGAACGUGCCCGAUCGUGGGGGAUAACGCAGCGAAAGCUGCGCUAAUACCGCAUACGAUCUGAGGAUGAAAGCGGGGGACCGUAAGGCCUCGCGCGAUCGGAGCGGCCGAUGUCAGAUUAGGUAGUUGGGGGGGUAAAGGCUCACCAAGCCGACGAUCUGUAGCUGGUCUGAGAGGACGACCAGCCACACGGGGACUGAGACACGGCCCAGACUCCUACGGGAGGCAGCAGUGGGGAAUUUUGGACAAUGGGCGAAAGCCUGAUCCAGCAGUGCCGCGUGCAGGAAGAAGGCCUUCGGGUUGUAAACUGCUUUUGUACGGAGCGAAAAGGCUCUCUCUAAUACAGGGGGCUCAUGACGGUACCGUAAGAAUAAGCACCGGCUAACUACGUGCCAGCAGCCGCCGUAA
rnacentral:rRNA from 1 species